rnacentral:rRNA from 1 species
AGCAGUGGGGAAUAUUGCACAAUGGGCGCAAGCCUGAUGCAGCCAUGCCGCGUGUAUGAAGAAGGCCUUCGGGUUGUAAAGCACUUUCAGCAGUGAGGAAGGUGGUGUCGUUAAUAGCGGCAUCAUUUGACGUUAGCUGCAGAAGAAGCACCGGCUAACUCCGUGCCAGCAGCCGCGGUAAUACGGAGGGUGCGAGCGUUAAUCGGAAUUACUGGGCGUAAAGCGCAUGCAGGUGGUUUGUUAAGUCAGAUGUGAAAGCCCGGGGCUCAACCUCGGAAUUGCAUUUGAAACUGGCAGACUAGAGUACUGUAGAGGGGGGUAGAAUUUCAGGUGUAGCGGUGAAAUGCGUAGAGAUCUGAAGGAACACCAGUGGCGAAAGCGAC